GGGGUUUGGGGGUUUAUAGCUUUACUAGUUAGAGUUGGGUCCUCUAACGUAGUAAUAGGAUUAGGUCAAGGUCAGGUUAGGGUUGGGGCAGGGUCAAGGGUCAGGUUAGUGUUAGGGCAGGGGCGAGGGUCAGGUUAGGGUUAGGGCAAGGUCAAGGGUAAGGUUAGGGUUAGGGCAGGGGCGAGGGUCAGGUUAGGGUUAGGGCAAGAUCGAGGUCAGGUUAGGGUUAGGGCAGGGGCGAGGGUCAGGUUAGGGUUAGGGCAAGAUCGAGGUCAGGUUAGGGUUAGGGCAAGGUCGAGGGUCAGGUUAGGGUUAGGGCAGGGACGAGGGUCAGGUUAGGGUUAGGGCAAGGUCGAGGUCAGGUUAGGGUUAGGGCAAGGUCAAGGGUAAGGUUAGGGUUAGGGCAGGGGCGAGGGUCAGGUUAGGGUUAGGGCAAGAUCGAGGUCAGGUUAGGGUUAGGGCAGGGGCGAGGGUCAGGUUAGGGUUAGGGCAAGAUCGAGGUCAGGUUAGGGUUAGGGCAAGGUCGAGGGUCAGGUUAGGGUUAGGGCAGGGACGAGGGUCAGGUUAGGGUUAGGGCAAGGUCGAGGUCAGGUUAGGGUUAGGGCAGGGGCGAGGGUCAGGUUAGGGUUAGGGCAGGGUCGAGGUCAGGUUAGGGUUAGGG